AUGCUUUGCUGUAGUGGCUGGUGGUACCCAGGACAGAGACUGUCAAUCAAAGGACCUUGCUACCCCCACAAGAAAGGUCAAGCCCCUAAGACUGAUACUCAAAAUACACUUGGACCAAUUAUUCAUGGUUUCUUAGAAGGAAUCAGUUUGUAAAACAUGAGAGAAAGCCUCAAGACCAUGCUGAGUGUUUCACUGCCUCUUGAGAUAUUCCCUGUGGGUUCUAUUGUAAGGCACAAGAAAAGGUUUGUAUGUAAUAUACAUUUGCUAUACCACUUGUACAGUCUAUAUUUAGUUUUGUCUGUUUGAUAUAUUUGAUUCUUCUGUGGAAGAUAAGAAAGCAAAUGGGAAAGUAAAGCUCACAAGAAAUGUUGAAAGUACACAGAAAGUGAGCCAAGAGCUUUUGAGAUAUUGGUGAAACUCCUAGGAUGUUAUCUUAGGAUGGUAAGUAAAGAUACGGUGUAAGGAAAUAGCUUGUGAGACAGGCAGAAAUCAUGUGAUGUGUUCCACAUAGACAGUAAAUUAGCAAUCUAUAAAAUAUAGUAAAAAAAGAAUAAGUGAAAUAUAUGAUGGGAAAAGACACGAAUGUUACCUAUAGAUAGAAAGGGAUGGAAGGAUCAAGUCAUGAUCGUGUCACCUCUGGACCAAUAGCUAUGUCAUCCCUAGAUGGCUACCCAUCAGUGACACCCAUUUUGGUCCCAUGUAUUAUUCCCCCCAAAUGAACAUCAAAGCCAGAGCUUCUGUAGACUAAUUGGGAAGCUAUAGCUGUGGCCAGGUGAACUUGCCUGUGUGUAUCUUUGAUAGAACAUGUGUGUGUCGUUAUCCCAGGGCACCUUCUGUCUGUUGGCCUCCUUGGUGCAACCUUAUCUCUGGUCUUCAUAAGCAUACCAUUUGUGGGAUAGGCUGAUGUGGGAGAGAGGGAGAGAAAGAGAGAAAGGAGAGAAAGGAAGAGAGAGAAGAGAUACGAGUAUGGUCCUCCCACCCACUUGGGUGGCCUUUUUCUGAGUGUGUUCAACUCUUUCCCUCUGUUUCUUAUGGUGUAUUUUAUUUUAUUUUUUAAAGAUUUAUUUGACAGAGACAGAGAAAAAGAGAGAAGGAGAGGCAGAGAGAGAGAGAGAGUCUUAAGCAGGCUCCAUGCUGAGUGCAGAGGCUGAUGCAGAGCCUGCUCUCAUGACCCUGAGAUCAGGACGUGAAUAGAAACCAAGAGUCAGAUGCUUAACUAACUGCACCACCCAGGAGCCCCUCUCAUGGUGUAUUUUAAAUAUAUUUACUAAAUCGUGCAAUUUUCAGCAUAUUCAAUUUUGAGGCUUUGAGCCUUUCUGUCUUGUGGCAUCAGGGAUGAUUUGCUUGGUAGUGUUCUCAGAGGUAAAUUCCCACCCGGCAACCAUAUUAGAUUAUUACCAUUUGGAUCUUUUUCACUCACAUCAUCUGUUUCCUUGGAUAAGACUCCAAUGGUGGAUACUUUAACUCCAUCAGAGGGCCUAGGAAAAGAGCUGUGCCAACAGAGUUUGGAAUAGAGGCAAAACCAAUUUUGGAGAGCUCCAAUGUGUGUUGAAAAAGAAAGCAAUCACAUAAAUGUGUUGUAUCACAUCCUGAAUAUGGUCUCAGGCCCUCUGCCAAGGUAGUCCGUAAACAUUUUUUAUGAAUUUGAUUUUUUUUUUUUCAUUAGGAAAAUUGCUGAACCUCUAAAUUACCCAGAGUAGCCAAAGAAGGACAGCAUGGGCCCUCUGUCAUUCAUUCAGAGCACAUUUGGGAGAAAGGAAGAAUGGUGGUUUGUAAAAAUCCAUAAAUAACAUAAAUAACAAAUGAUUUUAGUGACUCUAAGUGACUUAGCUGCUCACAAUCAGUGACGUCCUCAAUAUAUUAUUUAUACCUUUUGUGUUUUUUCUCAUAUAACAUCUUUUAUAUCCCUUCUGCUUACAGUAUUCUGUUGUUCAUGUAUUGUGUUUUAACCACAAACUUUUUGCCACUAUCAGUCACAUGGCUCUAAAAUGAAAUAUAGAUUAUAAAAGGAAACCCUUUCCACACAUUUAUGAAAUGGUUUCCAGCUGGUCUUAAAAGUGUCUCUGAUUCCCCCUGGAUGUAAGUGUUUAUCUGCUAAUGCUUAGCACUUGGGACUUCCCCUGCUCAGUUUCAAAAGUGGGAACAUGGAGAUAAAGCCAACGUUUUAAGAGAUUAGUAUCUGAGAAACAUAAAAUUGGAUGAAAUAAAUAUCACAUAUGUAUAAGAAGAAAGUUUUGAGCACUAUAUAGUGAAAUUAUGCCUGCGCUCAAAAAACAAACAAACAAACAAACAAACAAACCUAAAGCAACAAGAACAACAAACUCACUGUGUCAGAAAAUACAAGGCUCGGUCGUUUUGUGAUCCAGAGGAAUGGAGUAUCUUCAGAAUGUAAAGAUUAUAGGUGUGGGUGAUAAAGUCCCAAGUGAUAUGCCAAUUCCUGCAGAAGACCCUAGAGAAUCUUAUAGGAUUCUGGAAUCCCUAUAGAAAAUGGUCUGUGUGCCAAAGGAAAAAGGACCUAUCAGGUACCCUGGGUCCACUCUAGGUGCUCUGCUGUGUUAGUGGUUCCAAAGGUUUUUCAUGCUGCCACAUGUACUCAGGCCUUGGGGAUGACUCCUUGGUGGCUUGCUGACAGGAAAGGAGUUAGGGAGUUGUCACUUCCAGGUAACUUUAAGGACCAGGGAGAUCCCAGUGCCUGAAUUUAUAGGUUUAGGUAAAUGUUCAUUUUCCUUUUCUUUACACAACUUGCCUUUCCUGCCUGUGGUAACAAGCUUUCAUCAGUUAUAGGACCCAUUUAAAUCAAUCCAACUUUGGACUUCAACAAGAUGAAUGGUGGCAUCUUCCAGGAAUAUAGUGGAGAAAUCACUCUCAAAAUGAUAAAGCAUUGAUGUGCAAAGUAAGAAAGUCCAGAAAAAUGCUCCAUGUGAUUACUUUACUUCAAAAAGUCCUCUGACUUCAGUGCAUCCACCAAUCAUGGGCUAACUUUUCCUUCAUUUUAGCUAUCUCUGGUUAAAAUGGGUGGGGUGAGUCUCUUUGACAACAGUA
rnacentral:lncRNA from 1 species